rnacentral:lncRNA from 1 species
UGGAGCAACACAAUUCAGGAACUCAUUCCAUUUAAUGAAAUAUGAAAACUAAAAAUAAAAAUAAAAUAAAAUGGAGCAUUGUGAUGACUUUGUUGACUUAAUAAAAGUAAGUUUACUUUUAUAUUCAUAUAAGGUGCUAUACAAUCUUGGAGUUAUUGCACAACUCUCUUUGGCCAUCUUCAUCUUGGUGAUUGCUUUCCUUUUCAUUUGGAUAACUUGAUUUUUCAUUCUCAUAGUAAUGAAAACAUAUUAAUUUUUUAAGUUCAUUUGUAACUAUUUUAAGGUUAAUAAAUCAUUCACGAUUAUAUACAUAUCCUCAUUCUAUUUAUCCACUAGAAGAUAAUAAUUCUUUUCAUUAUACUAAACGUUCAUUCGAAAUAUAAUUAUGAUUAUCCCAAGAAUAUGCUUCACUCAUGAUGCACACACGCUUCAAAAAUGUGAAAUUUUUUCAUUCUAAGAUUUUGCCUCCAAAUUUUAUUUAUUUAUUUAUUUUUUGCAGGAAAAAUUUUACUAUGGGUCCCCAACAUUUGGAAUUUGUAACAAUUCCGGCUCUAUUCAAUUUUUAUCCCAUUCCGUCCCCAACCUUUCAUUAAGGGAAAUGUCACUUUCUAUCACCAACAUUUGCGUUAUGUUACUAGUAGAUCCUCAACUUUUUCGGCACCAGAUCUAGCCUUUUUUUAUUUUUACUUUUGCUAAAAGUUCACCUUUAUUCAGCGCUUGUUUGUGCGCCUUUAAUUUCAAAAAGUGUAUUAUGGAAUAGUGAUUGAUGUUGAAAUGUGUGGUCAAAAAAGAAGGAAAAGUUUUUAAUUUAUCUAUAAUAUUAUUUUAAUGAAGAAUGUGUAGUUGAAAAUGAGUAUUGUAGAAAAAAAUAAUGUAGUAGAAUGAUUGACAAACGAAUGCUUAAUUGUGGUUAAUUAUUAUCUCUAUGCUCAUUUAUCUGCACUGUGUUUUGAUGCCUUUUUUAUCCAAUAAAUACAUGCUCGGAUAAAGAUCAAUUGUAUUAUUUUUGCCCUUUUCUUGAAAAGUAAUCUUUAAUCUCUUCUCCAUAUAAUCAAGAAUUCUUCUGUGUGCAAGAUUUCGAUUGCAAACUCGUGAAUCUAUUACAAGAAUUGGAAGGUAGAUAGAAAAGUGAAGGAAGAUCCAAGGAACAUUAUAGCAUACAAAGACAUUUGGUGGAUUGUAUGACCAUGAAAGUGAUAUCAUGAGAAUCUUCAACUUAGCAAGGUAGUUUCAAGGCCGGUCCUGUGAUUGUCGCGGCUAGAGGUGAAGUCCAUAAAUUAGGCCUUCGAUGAAAUCAACGUAAAUACAAAAUUCUAUGGCAUAUUAUGCAACCUAUUGCUAACGUAAAAUAUACGGCCACAUGUUAACCAAUGUCCAAUAACCAAUUAAACAUGUAUUGCACAAGCUGAUAAGCCAAACUUAUGGUGGAAAUAAGUAAGUAACAAUCAGUAGCAGUUUGCAUGAGACCAACUUGGUAAAAUGACCCUAAAAUUUUCAACGUAAGUGCAUCUCGACUGCAUGAAUAAGUUAAACUGUUAAGCUUAGAUUAUUUGUUUCUAAAUAAAUAUUAUAAGGCUAGUGAAUAGAAGGCAGAAACUUCAAUGGAUUUUUCUAAUUUUAAUGUUUAAGAUAGAUGUUUAUCAAUACUACAAACUGUUGCGAGUUCAUAAUUUCUGUUUUUAUUUUUUGCCCAUUUGAGAAUCUCUAUUUCAUCUAAUUCCCCAAGCAACCACAUUUCCAGAAAACUGCUUUCCACAACAUAUUAGAAUUGCAAACUUCUCUCUGUUCACUAAUAUUUUAAUCUUUUCGUUCUUAGCAACGCUUUCAUAGAAAAUAAACUGGAAUGAGGAAUCUAAAAUUUAAAACUAACACUGAUUUUGAUUCUCCUUUACUCCAUUCAAUUUUUCUUUCAGGAACCAGAAAAAUAACUACAUCUUCGCAAAGUAAGAGGGCAAACUCAACUGCUCACCUUCUUCUCAAGGAACCAUCGCCUGUGCCUGUGAUUGAAGAGUCACGAGAAGUCGAGCAGGCCCUAGGAAAAAUGGGAUUCUGGAUUUGGAAUUUCAGAUUUGGGAAAUUUUAUUUUGGGUAAAUGGAUAUUAUGGAUUGUGGGAUAUAUAAGUU